rnacentral:rRNA from 1 species
GUUCGGAUCGCAGGCUGCAACCCGCCUGCGUGAAGUUGGAAUUGCUAGUAAUCGCGGAUCAGCAUGCCGCGGUGAAUACGUUCCCGGGCCUUGUACACACCGCCCGUCACACCAUGGGAGCCGGUAAUACCCGAAGUCAGUAGCCUAACCGCAAGGGGGGCGCUGCCGAAGGUAGGAUUGGCGACUGGGGUGAAGUCGUAACAAGGUAUC